rnacentral:rRNA from 1 species
CGGCGGACGGGUGAGUAAUGUAUGGGGAUCUGCCUGAUGGCGGGGGAUAACUACUGGAAACGGUAGCUAAUACCGCAUAAUGUCUGCGGACCAAAGCGGGGGACCUCCGGGCCUCGCGCCAUCAGAUGAACCCAUAUGGGAUUAGCUAGUAGGUAAGGUAACGGCUUACCUAGGCGACGAUCCCUAGCUGGUCCGAGAGGAUGACCAGCCACACUGGAACUGAGACACGGUCCAG